rnacentral:rRNA from 1 species
GAUGAACGCUGGCGGCGUGCCUAAUACAUGCAAGUCGAGCGAACAGACGAGGAGCUUGCUCCUCUGACGUUAGCGGCGGACGGGUGAGUAACACGUGGAUAACCUACCUAUAAGACUGGGAUAACUUCGGGAAACCGGAGCUAAUACCGGAUAAUAUAUUGAACCGCAUGGUUCAAUAGUGAAAGACGGUUUUGCUGUCACUUAUAGAUGGAUCCGCGCCGCAUUAGCUAGUUGGUAAGGUAACGGCUUACCAAGGCAACGAUGCGUAGCCGACCUGAGAGGGGGAGAGGCCACAGGGAAACGGGAACAGGGACAAAAACCCCAGGGGGGGAAACAGGGGGAAAAUUUCCGAAAGGGGGAAAAGCAUAACGGGAAAACGCGGGGGGGUGAAGGAGGGUUUUGGGAGGGUAAAACUUUUUUAUGAGGAAAAAAAAAAGGGGAAAAAAAAUAGGAAGGUUUGAAGGGAACAAAAGAAGAAAACCAGGGUAAACUAGGG